rfam:Madurella mycetomatis strain mm55 MMYC01_Sc2094, whole genome shotgun sequence.
ACAUACGACCAUACGCAGUAGAAAAUACGGGAUCCCGUCCGCUCUCCCUUAGUCAAGCUACUGACGGCCAGACUAGUAGUUGGGUCGGUGACGACCAGCGAAUCCCUGGUGUUGUAUGUU